rnacentral:rRNA from 1 species
GAUGAACGCUGGCGGCGUGCCUAACACAUGCAAGUGGAGCGACGAACCCGGCUUCGGCCGGGGGCAAAGCCGCGAACGGGUGAGUAACACGUGGGUUACCUGCCCCGAUGACCGGGACAACCCGAGGAAACUCGGGCUAAUACCGGAUGUGCUCUUCGGAGGAAAGGAAGCUUCGGCCUCCGCAUCGGGAUGGGCCCGCGGCGCAUUAGCUAGUUGGGGGGGUAACGGCCUACCAAGGCGACGAUGCGUAGCUGGUCUGAGAGGACGAUCAGCCACACUGGAACUGAGACACGGUCCAGACUCCUACGGGAGGCAGCAGUGGGGAAUCUUGCGCAAUGCACGAAAGUGUGACGCAGCAACGCCGCGUGCGGGAAGAAGGUCUUCGGAUUGUAAACCGCUUUCAGUUGGGACGAGGGUCAGCUGGUGAAUAGCCAGUCUGACUGACGGUACCUUCAGAAGAAGCCCCGGCUAACUACGUGCCAGCCGCCGCGGUAAUAC